rnacentral:rRNA from 1 species
UACGAAGGGUGCUAGCGUUGUUCGGAAUUACUGGGCGUAAAGGGCGCGUAGGCGGUGAUCUUUGUCAGAGGUGAAAGCCCGGGGCUCAACUCCGGAAUUGCCUUUGAAACGGGAUCGCUUGAGUCCGAGAGAGGAUGGCGGAAUUCCUAGUGUAGAGGUGAAAUUCGUAGAUAUUAGGAAGAACACCGGUGGCGAAGGCGGCCAUCUGGCUCGGUACUGACGCUCAGGCGCGAAAGCGUGGGGAGCAAACAGG